CCUAACCAAUCAUACUCCGUCAUAUUCCAUGACUGCGUGACACGAAAAUGGAACCCAAUUCCAUUUUCGUGUCACGCAGUCAUGGAAUAUGACGGAGUAUGAUUGGUUAGG
rnacentral:miRNA from 1 species